UCUCUCUCUAGUCUCUUAAGUCUCUUAAUCUCUGUUCUUAAGUCUCUCACAUACUCAUAAACACUCUCAUCAAUCCUUUUCUCUAUAUCACCUAGAACAAGCUCUAAUCAUUCUUCAUUGAAGCUUAUACACAGACACAUACUACCAGAGUAGAGAUCUCUUUAAAAAUCAUAUGGUAUCAGAGCCAGGUUCAUCAGAACCUGAGCUGUAGCUUCCACACAACACCAGCUCUACCCUCAGCUCAAAGCCAAAGCCAAACCUUAAAGACAUGUUCAUCCGGAUCUUGUUUCUUCAAGAGGAAGAAGAAGACUGAAGCCAUGGCGUGUACUCCUUGUCUCUCAGCCAUCCCUACCUGUCCUAAUGAAGAUUCUCACGGGAAGCAAAGGUGUAUGGAGAGGUUGAGUUAUUCUACCUCUAUGGUGCCUUGCUUCAAGAGCUGUUUCUCAUCUGGUUGCCAAAAGAAAGUCAUCUAGAAGUUGGCGUGUUGAAGGCUUGAAGAAAUGAGGGGUUAUUUGGGUGGGGAAUACAAGAUGGUGGCCAUGAACUGAAGGAGAAAGAGAUGGGGGUCAAACCAGGCUCUUAGAUUCAACAAAAUUCAUGGCUGGGUUCAUAAAAUGCAAAAGGAAUCAACCUGGUUCCUUGCUGUUCACAAAAGGUGUUCCUAGUUCAUCAUCAAAUCCGAGUUUAAAGAGAAAAAAUGGUGUCCAUUGUGUGUGCAAUGGAGAGUUACUACAAGAAGGGUGAAGCGCAGAUGGUUGUAAAACCCACUUGAAGCUCACUGGUCUUCCUACUACCAUUGCAAGUAACUGAAGAAGAAGCCAACCGGGUCUAGGCAGUGGCGUGCCUAUUCAAGAGGGUGCUCAAACUAAGACAGAGCACUCUUGGCUGUGUGAAGAAGAAGGCUACUCUAUCAAGGCGGCCUCUAUUGUGAGGUGAUUGAAGAAGUAGCUGAAGCAUCCACAAGCAUUCCAUCAUGGUGGUGAAUUCAGAAGGGUGAUUGCAAUAAGAGAAGAAGAAGAAGUAAGGAUUCAAGUGGUAACUUUGAGAACCAUUUCUCAUCAUCUUAACCAAGGGAGUAAACCUAAUCUCAUCUAUCUUAAUAUGUCUUGAUAGGUUUAUCUUCUGAUUAUACUAUGUGCUUUCCCUAAUUCCAUUAAGAGUUUAUAGCCUCUAGUAGAAUGUCUAGGCUAAUUGCACUGAAAUUGUUUUGCUGCUGCAUUGUCAUAUUGAUAGUAAGUAAUGUUUAGAGUCCCAGAAUCUCAUGUUCUGUUUAUUGCAUUGUCUUGAGGGUUGUCAUAGCUUGAAUCAUCAUGAAUGUGUUGUAGAAUUGAGUAGAAUGUCUCUGCUGCUUGCAUCAUGAUUGAUAAGUUAUUUUGCAUUCAUCAGCAUAUCUCAUACUGUCUAAGUUCAAUCCUAUUGUUAUCUGAUGCUAUUGUCUAUGCUUAAUCCACCAAUGAAAGUCUUGCAUCAAUUAGAAAUUGUCUAAGUUGUUUGCAUCAUUGGUUUUGAUUGAAACUGUUGUGCAUAGCCUUAAUAUUGCGCAUGGAUUGAACCUGUUGCAUUCACAUAGCUAAAGCUUUAAGAUUGUGCAUUCAUAUAAUAAUGCAUUUAAAAAUGAGCCUAAAUUGCAAAUGUACUGAUAAGCUUGCAUUGCAUUUAGAGAACUUAAAAACAGAACUUGUAUUGUCAUUAUUAGAGAUUGAAAUCUACUUGUCUAGAGACUCAGUCCAGUUCUGAUUGUUGCUAUGCCAUAGUUAAAUCCAUCAGUGAUGUCUUAUAAGCACUUAGAAGUAUGUCUAAGCUAUUUGAAUCAUUGGCUUUGAUAAAACUAGUGAGCAUAAGCAUGAAUUGAGUCACUCUUGUCGCCUUGAUUGCAUAAGUAUCAUCUAGACUUGUGUUCAAUUUAGAUUUAAUCUGUUUCAUUCAUAUAGUUAGUGUGUAACCUAAUGCAGUCAUCUAUUGUUGCAUUUAAAAAAAAAAAAA